rnacentral:rRNA from 1 species
CAUCGGUGACAGGUGGUGCAUGGUUGUCGUCAGCUCGUGUCGUGAGAUGUUGGGUUAAGUCCCGCAACGAGCGCAACCCCUAUUGUUAGUUGCCAUCAUUCAGUUGGGCACUCUAGCGAGACUGCCGGUAAUAAACCGGAGGAAGGUGGGGAUGACGUCAAAUCAUCAUGCCCCUUAUGACCUGGGCUACACACGUGCUACAAUGGUUGGUACAACGAGUUGCGAGUCGGUGACGGCGAGCUAAUCUCUUAAGGCCAAUCUCAGUUCGGAUUGUAGGCUGCAACUCGCCUACAUGAAGUCGGAAUCGCUAGUAAUCGCGGAUCAGCACGCCGCGGUGAAUACGUUCCCGGGCCUU